GGGGCUGUAGCUCAGUGGUAGAGCACUUGCCUAGCACGUGUGAGGCACUGGGUUUGAUCCUCAGCACCA
rnacentral:tRNA from 1 species